GACGUAGGGGGCAAGCGUUGUCCGGAUUUAUUGGGCGUAAAGAGCUCGUAGGCGGUUCGGUAAGUCGGGUGUGAAACCUCCAGGCUCAACCUGGAGACGCCACCCGAUACUGCUGUGACUAGAGUCCGGUAGGGGAGCGUGGAAUUCCUGGUGUAGCGGUGAAAUGCGCAGAUAUCAGGAGGAACACCAGCGGCGAAGGCGGCGCUCUGGGCCGGAACUGACGCUGAGGAGCGAAAGCGUGGGGAGCGAACAGG
rnacentral:rRNA from 1 species